CCCACAGCCGCAUCGUCUAUUCGCCCCUGCUCUAUUGCUGCACAUCACCGUCGUAGUCCCAUCCACGGAAGCCCUUCGCCAUCACUGUUGCAAUGCCGUCCUCCUCUCUGCUCUGUUGCCACAUCAUCGCUUCUCUAUUGUGGCAGAUUUCUUCCCUCUUUGUCGUUGGUGUUGCAUUUCAGAUUUACCUCUUCCUUGUUCCAAGAAAGUUGAGCAGAAGCUAAUUGAGGAAGAUCUGAAGAAAAUAGAGGAAGCAGUAAAAUUAGAUCCCACCAUUG